rnacentral:lncRNA from 1 species
AGUUGGAGUAAACAAAACUAUACAGUGCAACUGUUUUACCAACUUGUGGACAGAAAUCAAGCUGUGUUUAAAAGAAGGGACCAGCAGUACAUUGUGAAGAGUAAUGAAUGAAGUUAAUGCAAAAGAACUUAUACAAGUUACUUUCACUUUGUAACCAUUAGGCAAAGUUACAAGAUAAGGAACAGUCAAAGGUAUGAUGUUAAAGAGUAAGUUAAAAUCAAGUUAUGUUUAAAGGAAGGGACCAACAGUACAUUGUAAGAGUAAUGAAUGAAGUUAAUGCAAAAGAACAUGUACAAGUUACUUUCACUGUGUAACCAUUAGGCACAGUUACAAGAUAAGGAACAGUCAAAGGUAUGAUGUUAAAGAGUAAGUUUUUAUCAUGUGUC